UUAUAGGGGUACUUUUCCGGGAUCCAUGCGAUAUAAAGUGUACGCCCCUUUAGGGGGACAGCUUAGGUUGAGAGCGACUGGCGUUCCCUUAACGCUAUAGAGGUUAGUGACUAUGUGAAUAACUCCUCAACAGAUCACAUCAGAGGACUACACUCUGGACGACAUCCUCUUCUACGUAACGAGGGAUGACUUGAAGAGCUUGCGAUUACGAGGUGGGGUGCUGUGUCGAUUGUGGAACGCCAUCUUGGAACAUCGGGAAAAGAAGCCAUCUUGAAAGCAAGCUGAAAAAAGAAAAGAACACAACAGAAAAGAAGAAGAGGGAAAGGAAGAGGACGGAGGGAUAGUAAGACAAGAAAGAACAAAAGGGCCUCAACAACAACAACAACAGAUCCACCUCCCAGCAUGCCUCAGCAGCAGCAGCAGCAGUAUUCCCUUUUCUCCUGACACUGCACUUGAUGCCCAGUGUUUGAAUGAAAGACCAAAAUGCACUCCCUCCGGCCCAGCUACGGCCCAGCCCUGGCCCCAGCUGCCGACCGCCAUGGAGGCCACCACGCGAGGAGAGUUGUUUACCUUACGAGACAGACACACAGGCAAGGUAUAUACAGGGCAUCCUGAAAAAAACAUGUACACACUGGAAACCAUUGUCAAGUACAGUGGGUGUUUAUAAAAAAAACAAAUUUAAAGUGUGAUAGAUAGCGCUUACAGAUAUUAUUUUAUUGUUUUUUUCACAACCUGUCCUCAAACUGACAUCCAUUCUGGUUCAGCCUCUGCUGACAACGCCACAUAGCUAUGAACAGCAGAAAGACAUUUGAAGAGUUCAGAUGCAAAACCCCCUAACUCCAUUUCUGAAGACCUGCACUUCUAUAUUUUUAGAGAACCCCGUUGUUGGUUUGGUUUACAUUCAUGUACUUGAUAAUACAUAUACAUAGUUAUAUUGCAUAAAUAAAAUGAAAAAUAUGCAAUUUUGACAGCUUUAUAUUAAAUACAAAUUAAUUAAGAUUAUUUUCUGAAAAGGCACUUAGGGGGUUUUGCAUCUGAACUCUUCAUUGGGGCCCAGGGGACUAUACUACAAAGCUGGUUCAGGAGUAAACCAGGUUAAGUUAAACCAUCUAAUAGAAGAGUCUGGAGUCCUCCUUUAUAGUACACUGAACGUACAUUGAAAUUACAUGCAUUUUAAA